rnacentral:rRNA from 1 species
UACGUAGGGGGCAAGCGUUGUCCGGAAUCAUUGGGCGUAAAGCGCGUGUAGGCGGCUCGGUAAGUCUGCUCUGAAAGUCCAAGGCUCAACCUUGGGAUGCGGGUGGAUACUGCCGGGCUCGAGUCCGGAAGAGGCGAGUGGAAUUCCUGGUGUAGCGGUGAAAUGCGCAGAUAUCAGGAGGAACACCAAUGCGAAGGCAGCACUCUGGGACGUGACUGACGCUAAGGCGCGAAAGCGUGGGGAGCAAACAGG